CUAUGGGACACAUAGAGGGGCUGAGGGGGUAGAUGGAAUGGGACACAUGAAGGGGCCUCAUUCCCUCUGUCCCACAGACCCUCCAUGUGUCCCAUUCCAUCUACCACCUCAGCCCCUCCAUGUGUCCCAUUCCAUCUACCCCCUCAGCCCCUCCAUGUGUCCCAGGUG